rnacentral:rRNA from 1 species
AUUGAACGCUGGCGGCAGGCCUAACACAUGCAAGUCGAACGAGUGGCGGACGGGUGAGUAAUGUCUGGGAAACUGCCUGAUGGAGGGGGAUAACUACUGGAAACGGUAGCUAAUACCGCAUACCAUCAGAUGUGCCCAGAUGGGAUAGGCUUGUUGGUGGGGUAAAAGCUCACCAAGGCGACGAUCCCUCGCUGGUAUGAGAGGAUGACCAGCCACAAUGGGACUGAGACACGGCCCAGACUCGUACGGGAGGCAGCAGUGGGGAAUAUUGCACAAGGGGCGCAAGCCUGAUGCAGCCAUGCCGCGUGUAUGAAGAAGGCCUUAGGGUUGUAAAGUACUUUCAGCCGGGAGGCGUUACCCGCAGAAGAAGCACCGGCUAACUCCGUGCCAGCAGCCGCGGUAAUAC